GGAAGAUCUUAUUCUCAUUAUCAAGAAUUAAUAUUAAUUAGUUUCUUCCUAUUUAAAGCAAAUUUCAUUAAUGAUUUCUUAAUGAUGUUGUUUACGCAUUAGAAACACGUAAAAUUGCACUUGCUAGUCACUUACUCUUCCUGACAGUCAACCAGAACUGGAGCUUUUCAUGAGCCAAGCCAAUGGAAACUGUGAUACGUAAAUGUGCAUCUCUCCCGUCAAGUUAGCAUUGGAAUAUAUGGCAUUGGAUAAGGUCAGCCAGCCGACUUUUUGCCUAGACUGCCAGUUGGCAUCGUGCCCAUUUAAGCUUAGAGAAAUCACGUCGUACCGUCGCGCUUUUUUAUUUUUGGAGCGUGGCUUGCGCGUGUUCAUGAGUAGGAUUGCCAGAUAGGAUUUGGAGCGUGCAAGCACGGAUUAAUAACACGUGACCCUGGCCUUUGAGCUCCAGGAGGCAUGGCCUAUGUUAAUUGUGAACAGCUAAUAAUUUUUAUAUUGCUGUAUGGCCACUAAUGGAUUUCAACUCAAUGU
rnacentral:misc_RNA from 1 species